rnacentral:rRNA from 1 species
AGAGUUUGAUCCUGGCUCAGGAUGAACGCUGGCGGCAUGCCUAACACAUGCAAGUCGAUCGGUAAGGCUCUUCGGAGUACACGAGAGGCGGACGGCUGAGUAACGCGUAGGAACACACCCUGCAGUGAGGGAUAAGACACCGAAAGGUGUUCUAAUACCGCAUACGGUCUUCGGAUUAAAGCAUUUAUGCGCUGAAGGAGUGGCCUGCGUCAUAUUAGAUAGUUGGUGAGGUAAUGGCUUACCAAGUCGAUGAUGUGUAGCUGGUCUGAGAGGAUGAUCAGCCAGACUGGAACUGAGACACGGUCCAGACUCCUACGGGAGGCAGCAGUGAGGAAUAUUUCACAAUGAGCGAAAGCUUGAUGGAGCAAUGCCGCGUGCAGGAUGAAGGCCUUCGGGUUGUAAACUGCUUUUAUAAGAGAAGAUUAUGACGGUAACUUAUGAAUAAGGGACGGCUAACUACGUGCCAGCAGCCGCGGUCAUACGUAGGUCCCGAGCGUUAUCCGGAGUGACUGGGCGUAAAGAGUUGCGUAGGCGGUCAAGUUAGCGAGCGAUGAAAACUAUCGGCUCAACCGAUAGCUUGUUGUUCGAACUGCUUGACUCGAGAGUAUCAGAGGUCGCUGGAAUUCCUAGUGUAGCAGUGAAAUGCGUAGAUAUUAGGAAGAACACCGAUGGCGUAGGCAGGCGACUGGGAUAUUUCUGACGCUAAGGCACGAAAGCGUGGGUAGCGAACCGGAUUAGAUACCCGGGUAGUCCACGCCGUAAACGAUGGAUGCUAAUUGUUUGAGGUAUCGACCCCUCG